rnacentral:rRNA from 1 species
UACAGAGGUGGCUAGCGUUGUUCGGAAUUACUGGGCGUAAAGGGAGCGCAGGCGGCUAAAUUAGUCUGAAGUGCAAGCCCGGGGCUCAACCCCGGAAUUGCUUUGGAUACUGUUUGGCUUGAGUACGUCAGAGGUGAGCGGAAUUCCAGGUGUAGCGGUGAAAUGCGUAGAUAUCUGGAGGAACAUCCGUGGCGAAAGCGGCUCACUGGGACGACACUGACGCUGAGGCUCGAAAGCGUGGGGAGCGAACGGG